rnacentral:tRNA from 1 species
GGAGGGGUUCCUGAGUGGCCAAAAGGAUCAGACUGUAAAUCUGACGCGCAAGCUUCGGUGGUUCGAAUCCACCCCCCUCCACCA